UGAGCUAUGGCGAAAAGGUAACGCAGCAGGUUUUGACCCUGUUAUUUUGCUGGUUCAAAUCCAGCUAGUCCAG
rnacentral:tRNA from 1 species